rnacentral:lncRNA from 1 species
CACCCUUUUUCAGGUCCCUGGGCAGCCUGUCCCGGGGCAUUGCUGCUAUCCCUGGCAUCACUGCCUGUUCUUCGACAUAGCUGCCUGCCCCUGGCUGGGCCUGUUCCUAGGCUCCACUCCCUUCUUCAAGGUGCUGCUGCCCAACUCUGGAUCCUGCCAUCUGCUCCAGGGUCCUGCUGCUUACCCAGGAUCCCACUGCCAUCCCGUAGUCCUCUCCUGUGCAAACUAGAAGAUGAUGCCUCUUCCCUCUUCUUCGUCAGCUAUCAGCAACCAUCAAGACAGAGACACCUGAGCUUUCAGGGGACAGCGGCUCUUCAGUUCUUACUGGAAGAGAACUCAGACAUUGUGCCAGGAGACAAAUCCAAGUGACAGACGCUGUGCUCUCUCGGUUGAGCCUAGAGGCUCCAAGCCAUGACUCCACGCCCAGGAGAUGGGUUCUGCCCCCAAAGGUCUCUACAUCCCCGCGGGUAGUCUGUUCCCCGACCCCUGCCCUGUCCCCGGAUCAGUGGCCACAGGACCGAGAGGAUGUGCAAGACCCUGGGGCUGGGGCUGCACAAGACAUGCUAGCUAUCUAUGUGACUCUGCCCUAUGGAACUAGGCGGGAGAGUUCAAGCUUGUAGAAGCCAUGGAACAGAAGCAAGCAAAAGCUUGUCAGUAAAGUGACAGUUUAAUAUUUGUGUAAACCAAAUGGACACACAAUAAAUUUUAUAUUGGCA